AUCUCGCCGUUUCAGAGUUAGAAUCAUCCACUCGACUAAGAUAAUGGCCACCAAAUUUCUACGUUCAGUCGUCCUUUUCGCUGUGUUGUUUUCUCUGACGUCCGCGUGUUGCAAGAAGUCCUGCUGUCACUCUGGCUCCUCCCACCAUAGCUCCUCCUCCAGCUACCCCAUCCCCUACCCCGUCCCCAUGCAUCACGGCAGCAGUGGUGGUCACAGCGGCAGCAACGGGGCCCAAGACGCCGCUCUACUUCAGGCACUCAUCAACGCCGGGAGGUAGAGGUUUACAGAUUCAGAAGAACCUCUGCAUGGGCUAUCGCCUUGAUCAACUGUGACAAA